GGUCCUCCAGGGCACGUGCUUCGUGGCUACUUCCGGUCAGCUUUCCUCACACGUGGCCUCAGCCUGGUAACAACCAGGGGGCAGGAUGGUUCCUCCUUCAGGGGCAGGCAACCAGGACCCUGAGAAGCAGGUGUUCCUCUCACCACCGAGCAGAUGACCCGGGGCAGAACCAGACUUAGGUCCUACCUAAUUCCAAAGUUGGGGUCUCAGCCACUAGCAGGGGGUUGGGCCUGGAGCCCGAAGGAGGCCGACCCCUGGAGGCUGGAGAGGCAGUCUCUUCAGUGCCUGAAUCACCUAACUCUUAGGGGACUCAGAGGGACACUGGGAGCAGGACCAGGGUCCAGCCAAACCCCAGAUCCCCAGGAGCAGCGCCAGGGAUCCACAGCUGCUCUGCACCCCCCCACCCCUGCCCCUCAGCCAGCCAGGAGGCGCAUCUCAUCCCUGAGCACACACCGUUUCCCCAGGCCGGCGCCAUCGCAGGGCACCCUCUAGCCCAGCGGCGAGGACUGAGCAUCUGCAGCUGGCAGCCUGGGCUUGCUGGAAAUCAAGCUCCGGUCUGGUCACCGGGGAGUCUGCAUCCUUCCAAGAGCAUUUGUUUAUUCAACGAUAUCGGAUUGUUUGCCUCCCCUGGGCUGCAAGUUCUUUGAAGGCAGGGACAAAUCGCUGCAUCUCCAUUGUUUUGUACAAAGAAAAGCAAGCCAUCCCUGCCACCCAGGGGCCGGCGGGCCCUCUCAGGAGGCACCUCAUUCUCCUGCUGGACACAAACCACCUCCCGGAAUGGCAAGGUCAGCCAACUGAAGUCUGAGACUAUGGGAAGCACCACUUCUCAGCAAUCCUACGAGCUGGGCACUGCAAUUUCCAUCAUUAUUUGGAUCUGGAAAUUAAGACUUCAAGAGGCUAACAAAAUACUCUCAGUUACCAAGGGGUGGAGAAGAAACCACACCAGGUCUGGGGUGCUCCUGCUAUAAAAGAAGUUUGGAUGCAAAGGAAAAACAGACCUGCAAGAAGCUGAUACAGCUUCCUCUGACCAUCCUAGCUCACCACCCAACGCACCGCCAUCAACUUCAUCUGCUUGAUAUCCAACAUGGCGCCGAUGAUGGGCAGAGACUGGACUGCAUUACUUGCUUAAUUAUCUGUGUCUUUGUUUCCCAUCCCCACCACUGGAAGAUUUUUUGCAGGUGGUCUCAUCAGCCCCAGAGGGGGUCUCACGCUGCCGUUCCCAGAGCCACCGCCUGUCUGAGAUGUCACCACUGAACAUGGCACCGACUGGCCACCAUCAAUCAGCCUGGAGUCCAUCCCUUUUCAACGCCAUGGCUCCUGCCAGCUUCAAGAUAGCAUUUGUUCUUGGGGGCUUCCAAAAAUAUUGACAGUUCUUGGAAAAGAUUCAACGCUAAUUUUGGGGACUUUCUCUUUUUCCUUUCCAUGGUGACAGCUUUGCUGACAGCAGGAAACCAGGCAUUUCUGCUGUUUAAAUGGUAGCUUUUUUAAAAAAAAAAAAGUGGU